UACGUAGGGUGCGAGCGUUGUCCGGAAUUAUUGGGCGUAAAGAGCUCGUAGGCGGUCUGUUGCGUCGGGAGUGAAAACUCAGGGCUUAACCCUGAGCCUGCUUCCGAUACGGGCAGACUAGAGGUAUGCAGGGGAGAACGGAAUUCCUGGUGUAGCGGUGAAAUGCGCAGAUAUCAGGAGGAACACCGGUGGCGAAGGCGGUUCUCUGGGCAUUACCUGACGCUGAGGAGCGAAAGUGUGGGGAGCGAACAGG
rnacentral:rRNA from 1 species